rnacentral:rRNA from 1 species
GUGAGAUCCCCCCUCGCCGAUAGCCCAAGGUUUCCCCGGCAAGGCCAAUCCGCCGGGGGUUAGUCGGUCCCUAAGGUCAAGCCGAAAGGCGUAGCCGAUGGAAAACGGGUUCAUAUUCCCGUACCACCAUGGUUUGUUUUAGCGAUGGAGUGACGUAGAAGGGUAGAUGAGCAGGGAGUUGGUCCCCUGUCUGUGGUCGUAGGUGUUGAGACUGCCAGGAAAAUCCGGCAGUUGAGCUGAGGGCCGGAGCGAGCGAUCCUACGGGUGAGCGAAGUUAUUGACCCCACACUACCGAGAAAAGCUUCUAAGUGAGAACCGUGGUGACCGUACCGCAAACCGACACAGGU